CGGAUCGGAGUCUGCAACCCGACUCCGUGAAGCUGGAUUCGCUGUAAUCGCGCAUCAGCCAUGGCGCGGUGAAUACGUUCCCGGGCCUUGUACACACCGCCCGUCAAGCCAUGGAAGCCGGGGGGCGCUUGAAGUGCGUUGCCGCAAGGCGCGCCCUAGAGCGAAACCGGUGACUGGGGCUAAGUCGUAACAAGGUAGC
rnacentral:rRNA from 1 species